UAUGGGCUUCUCUGGGCCCUUGGAAGGUCUCUGUGGGGUUUCCACAAGGCCAACCACCGAGGCUCCUUCUAACAAGGAUUUGUAUUUCCUGCUACACCUACCAGCCCAGACCACCUGUCAUCUACUACCACCCAGGCUCUGUGACCUUGGACAGCCAUGGACGUCCGCGUCCACCCCGACUGUAAAAUGAGAGCUGGGCUGGCUGAUCUCGACCGUCCCCCUGCCAGAUUGGGAUUCUGUACUGUGCUCAGGAGUGUGACUGUGACAUGCCCCAGGAGGUCACUGCCAGUGCACACCACGAGGGCGGCAUUGCUCCUGGCAGUGGGUGGGGCAGACACAUGAUGAUCCCCAGCUGAGCAUUUGUGGGGAAUUAUGCUCUGGGUCUCGUGCUCUGUGCUCUGGAAGUGCUCUCAGACCAGCCCCCACGCCUGGAAUUGGCCUCUGAGCUUGUGGCCCUUUCUCCACUGCACCCCCCACAGGACUUACUCCAGGCACCACCUCCUCCAGGGAGGCCCCCCGUGACUCCUCCGGGGCUGUGCCCCUCUUCCGUACUCCCCCGUCCCAGGCUCCUGCUGACCUUGCUGUCUUUUGCUUGUUGACUACAUGGCCUCCCUGCCCAGACUGGAAGCCUCCUGGAACUGGGUUCUCAUCUGAGAUUGUUAGAAACAAUAACAACAACAGGAACGAUGGAAGAAAAUCACCAUCUCACAGCCAUUAUAACAAGAAUUGAUUCAGCAAGAGUCAUCCAAGGAUGCCAAAAUUAGCGGGUAAAAGUUGGAGGAUAUCUACAAAGUCUCACAGUGUCUCCCGGUAAGAUACUGAUUAAUGGCAAAACGAAACAUCAUAACUUGUCAGUGGAAAAGUCUGGCAGAACCCUCCUUUGUCAGGUAAUGGCCAGGAUGGCAGGGACAGGACAGACCUCCUGACUCACGUGAUGCAGUGAGUCUCACUUUGUCGCCCUGGUGGAGUGCCAUCACAGUUCACGGCAACCUCAAACUCUUGGGCUCAAGUGAUACUUUUGCC